GCUUGAUAAUUUCAACCAUGGAGCCUGCAAAGUCGAUAGAUGGAUUGAUACCGUUGAUUAUCCGAGUGGUCAGGAACAAGAAUGAUAAACAGACAAGGACGGAGCACAAUCAGGUCGGGAGCGCGACGAACACAGCCGAACGGGAGAAUCAGGUUGGGAAAGUCGAUGGUUUUGUAGAAAUGGUCGGUAGUUUUCGCUGGCCGGAACAUUUUGUAGAUCCAUCUUUGGUUGGUAAGAGAGAAAGUAGACGUAGGAAGGUGAUGUCGUGGAUAGCAGGUGGGAGUUGAUUGUAUAGAUAGAUAGAUAGAUAGAUAGAUUAAAUCAUGUGUUAUUACCUGCUGGUUUUUAUUUACGCAUUGGCGUUCCUCCGGUGACUAUUCUCCGGCGAUCUCCUUGUAGUUUUCUUUCACCUCUUCUGCUCCCGAUUAAUAAUGAAAACAACAGUUGAAAGAAUCUACAUCGUUAAAAUGAAUUAUAAAAUCCGAACUUUGCUUCCCGUCUUUGUCGAAUCUAUAUGCUGAAAACAAUACAGAUGUUCAUUAUAAACUUUUUUCAUGACUAAUUUACCCUUUUUCAUUUAAGUGUUAAUUAUUUGGGUUCACAUCUUACGUUUUGACGAAGUAAAUAAAAAUUAAAGUAUAUAUAUUAAAACUCGAAUCUUAGACCAACUCUACACCCCGUCUUCCUCAGCUCGCUAGUUGAGUAGUGUUGUUGUUGAAUGCAGAUUUUCGUCGGCUUCCUUGUGGGCUCUGUCGCCAAUUUUCUCCGGUAGUAAAACGGUGGUUACUUUAAGCGUCGACGUGUAUAAAUCUCCUGUCAC
rnacentral:lncRNA from 1 species